CGCAGAUCAUCAUCAGUCACUGGUUAAGCAUCAAAGAGACCGCCUCGAUCGUCGACCCGUCAAGUGUUCCGCCAGACGAUUGGCCAGCAGAAGUUUAGCUAAUUGUGUUUUCUUGUGGUGAAAACCGUCUCACCAGUGAUAAGUAUCGGCGUGGAAAAUUAACCGCACUGGAGUGCGAGGUGCCGCGAUACCGAAAAUUGGUCGCGGUGGAGAGUGAGGUGGCGUCUACUAUCAGCAUGGAAAGCAUGGCCAUGCUGGAGUAGUUGGAUAAUUUGAGAUCGGCCUUCAUUUCCUGUUUCGCAAGCUAAAUUCCAUCAUGGCUGGAGCCGUGGUGUGGAGCAGUGCGCUGCUGUGCAUUCCUGCCGACUGGACGGCGGGGCAAAUGCACCGGAUGGCCGGCGUUCUCGCCGGUGACCAAGCUGGGUUCUGCCCGGGCAGCAACGUUGUUCCGGAUCGUCGAGGGAUACACGGGGGUCACACACACACACACACAGGUUUACACCCGCAACUCUAGUUUUAAGGACGCCAACUAGGUUUAGUUCGCCAAUAUAGAUGUAAGUACGCUAAAA